rnacentral:tRNA from 1 species
AGGUUUCACCGAGAUUUGAACUCGGAUCGCUGGAUUCAGAUUCCAGAGUACUAAACAUUACAUUAUGGAACC